rnacentral:rRNA from 1 species
UGAGUAACCUGCCCUUAACUCUGGGAUAAGCCUGGGAAACUGGGUCUAAUACCGGAUAUGACUCCUCAUCGCAUGGGUGGGGGGUGGAAAGCUUUAUUGUGGUUUUGGAUGGACUCGCGGCCUAUCAGCUUGUUGGUGAGGUAAUGGCUCACCAAGGCGACGACGGGUAGCCGGCCUGAGAGGGUGACCGGCCACACUGGGACUGAGACACGGCCCAGACUCCUACGGGAGCAG